rnacentral:rRNA from 1 species
UACGGGGGGGGGCAAGCGUUGUUCGGAAUUACUGGGCGUAAAGGGCUCGUAGGCGGCCAACUAAGUCAGACGUGAAAUCCCUCGGCUUAACCGGGGAACUGCGUCUGAUACUGGAUGGCUUGAGUGUGGGAGAGGGAUGCGGAAUUCCAGGUGUAGCGGUGAAAUGCGUAGAUAUCUGGAGGAACACCGGUGGCGAAGGCGGCAUCCUGGACCAUUACUGACGCUGAGGAGCGAAAGCGUGGGGAGCGAACAGG